AACAUAACGAAAAUGCAUAAGAACUAGCUAACUAAGGCGCAUAAAUAUGCUCCUAUCACUAUUGUGUAAAAUUUACUUGGUACUGUCCAAAUAAUAAUUUACUUGAUGGUUGGUUGGUUGGUUGGUUCAUUCGUUCGUUCAUUCGUUCGUUCAGGUACUUUUGAGAUAAACAUUGUUGGCAGAACUUCACUCUAUGGGACAUUACUUGCACAUAAUUUCUAUACAUUUCGUUGGUCUCCUCAUGCAGCUACAGAGAUUAUGCUAUUGUGGACAGACAGGAGUCAUGCAAGCACCUAUGUAGCUUCAGUCAUUUAGUUCAAGCUCAAAUUUCCAAGAUUUGAUUGCUGCGUGGUCUUCUUCAAUCAGUUUGAUGACUUAAGUAUGGGCAAGUCCAUUUUAUGUUCCUGACCUCAUUGUAUAACUAAGCUCCUUCAACAACUCGCACACCCUCACUCCUGCCAGCUGCAAGGUAUUCGUUCCUAACAAGUGGUUUGCUUAUUACACGAACCUUCUGGGUCUAGAUGCAGCGAGUUUUCUGUAUCCAUUCCAGUAUUACAUUCGGGUUCAUGUCUCUCAUCCGAAUUCCCAUCGAACCUUCUUCUCAUACCACUGCAGUCUACAGAAUCAGCUUGUGUGGAGUACAUAUGUUCAAGUCCCUCACUGUUAUGAUCAAAUUAGAACCUGAAGUUCAUUAAUCCCCAUCAUAUAAAAAGAUUAGUCCUAAAAGAUCAGAUCUAACGUUCCUUGAUCAAAUUAGAACCUAAUGUUUCUUGACCCCCACCAUGUAAAAAGAUCAGACCUAAAGUUUCUUGUUCCUCAUUAUGUAAAAAAUCGGACCUGAUGUUUCUUGAUCCUCAUUAUAUAAAAAUAUCAGAUCCGAAGUUCUGUGAUCAAAAUUAAAACUAUGAAGGUUCUUCAAUCAAUUGCAUGGUACCACCACCACACUACUCCAGGGCACUAGGUGGAGUCCUAACGACUCCUUUGCUGGAUGACCAUGCUUAUUCCACAAAACACGCAAACUUAUCCAGAUAUGGACACAAUCAGAUCAUAUAAGUCUUGGAGUCCCAGCAAACUAGGGAUAGGCGUGUGCUGCAACUAAUUAAAACUCUUAAGAAGAUGCAAUAUCUACUUACUAGAUAUCAUCUAAGAUUCUCCUGGCUUAUAACGAGCAUUCUAUCCUAAAAAGGUUUAUCUCCCACGAUAGAAAUACACCCAUAUAGAUUUCAGCUACGGUAACACAAUGAAUACACUUGAAUUCUAUUGCCCACUACUUAAGGCUAAAAUUAUUCACUAACUUGACCGUCGGAGAGUGUUUGGUUGGCACACCCUCCCUGGCCCUAAAGUUUGCUUACGGUUAUUUUACUGUUUUGCAGGUUGCUUAGGUUUACUUGAAUUUGUGUUUAACCACCGCUUACAGAUGUGUGCAUAUUUGGUUCCAACAAUUGGUGCUUUCAUUGAGAGAGAACCUAUAUUGCUCAGAAAGUUCAGUCAAGGACAAUGAUGUGAGAAAUAAGUUAACACACAAAUUAAACCCUCUUUUUGACAAUUGAAGUAUAGAUGUAAGUAGGGUAUCGUUCUAAACCGGGGAUUAGGAGGGCUUGCUAA
rnacentral:lncRNA from 1 species